UGAAACGUAGCUUAACCAAAGCCCUUCGUUUACACCGAAAUAAUACUUGUUAAACCCAAGUCGUCUCUACG
rnacentral:tRNA from 1 species